AGAAACCACUUGAAUUUAGAAUACUAAUAGAGGGGCCCCAGAGUGAGUAUUAGGGGAGUUACCCCACUGGCAAAUACAUUUGACAUAUAAGAAGGGUUUAAAUAAGUAAGUAGAAUUGGUUUCCUAAAUCACACUUUUGCAUUCAGGAGCAAUAGAUGUCAAUCAAACGUGGAUGACAUUUACUUGUCAAUACGGAACGAUGGCUGGGAAGACAGUUACUUAUUACAACGGGGUGAGAAUCUGAAAUAAGGAGCAGGAACAAAUAAUAAUAUAACAAGCAAGUAGUACAUGCUAGGUAACUAUCAGCAGACUCUGGUCUUGCCUGUAGGCUCCACAGCAAGGUAUCUCCUUCAAGAUUCCACAGCCCCUCUGCACUGUGCCCCAUCCCAACAGUUAAGUUCCUUCUCUGAUUCAAAGCAAAGUCAAGUGGGCAGACAUAGAAACCUUCAUUGGCUUCCUGGAGAGGAAUGUCAGCAACUGAGAGAGAGUCAACACUAAGGAAGUGGGGCUCUAGCCACUGGUAAUGAGGAAUGACCCCUCCGUCCCUCAAAACCUUAGCUUUUGUUUUAGGAUACAUUUGACACAUAUAUUCUGUACAGUUUUGCUCAUGUGAACUACCUGGUUUCUGUAUUUUUCCCCCCACUGGCUAGCAUGGAGAACAAACAUUCCAGAUCAUAAUAUCAACACCUACCUUUCUAACACCUUCUGAGUUAUUUCUCAGAGAACUUUCUCUGAGGUGAGAAAAUGGUAAGCUUGUGAUGUCCAUAAUGGAAGGAAAUAUACUAAUGCAACAGAACCUUCUAUCCUGUUCCUGGAUAUCUCAGUCCACGGAGCCUUUUCAUUACUAAGAAGAGUUUGGUAGAAGGGGGUGAAAAGGUUUUUGUUUAAUAGCAAUAAAUAAAUGCUCAUCAAAAGCCCAGAACACAAAGAGUUUUCCUAUGAAAGAUGCGUAUUUUAUGAGUGAACCCAUCAAUGCAAAUGUGAAAUAUUAGAGUCAAGACAACCCUGAGAAAUUAGUUUUCACCUUGCUCAUACAGGCAGGAAGAACCAGAGCUGUGCAGAGAAUCAGGGCCAUUGGUGACCCUGCUGGGAUAAGCUCUACAAAAUAUUAAUGCACCAAGCCCCACCUGAGAGGAGUAAUAAGAUGGGGGCUUUCCUCCACUAACCUCUUCUUAGGACAAUGCAAAAUUUGACAUUUCAGGCAAGGGCCCUGACAUCCUGGAAGACUGCUAGGGUUUGUCUAGUGCUGCUUGUUCAGAGUGACAGGAUCCUCUCCAGAGUCCCAAGGCUGACCCCAUACUCUGUGCUUUUCAUGAAGUAAGUUGGAAUUGUUGCCCUCCUUCCUCUUUUCUAGAAACACCCCACCAUGAACUUGGAAGGGGAAGCAGCCUUUGUGUCUGUAAGGUUCUCAGGGAUGACUUGGUAGUAAACGAACGUAUGGCUGCUUGCUGUCAUUUUCUACUGCUCCAGUUUGCAGACGCUUCUCUGGAGAGUUACUCAUGCUUCAUCCUUUCUUCUGACAGUUUGAAUAAACCGUCUGAUGUGGCUUAUUACUCAUCUUCUUUAUGUAUAUAAUAAUAGAAUAUGUGUCAAUUAAAAAAUAUUUAGUUUUC
rnacentral:lncRNA from 1 species